AAUGUGAGUAGAAGCGGUCAGUGCAGGCAACUGCGCGGGACAUUGCUCAGCAA
rfam:Rahnella aquatilis CIP 78.65 = ATCC 33071, complete genome.